rnacentral:rRNA from 1 species
UGCCUAGGAAAUUGCCCUGAUGUGGGGGAUAACCAUUGGAAACGAUGGCUAAUACCGCAUGAUGCCUACGGGCCAAAGAGGGGGACCUUCGGGCCUCUCGCGUCAGGAUAUGCCUAGGUGGGAUUAGCUAGUUGGUGAGGUAAGGGCUCACCAAGGCGACGAUCCCUAGCUGGUCUGAGAGGAUGAUCAGCCACACUGGAACUGAGACACGGUCCAGACUCCUACGGGAGGCAGCAGUGGGGAAUAUUGCACAAUGGGCGCAAGCCUGAUGCAGCCAUGCCGCGUGUGUGAAGAAGGCCUUCGGGUUGUAAAGCACUUUCAGUCGUGAGGAAGGUUUAUGCGUUAAUAGCGUAUAGAUUUGACGUUAGCGACAGAAGAAGCACCGGCUAACUCCGUG